ACAUUCUAGCAUUCCAUAUUCCAAAGAUCUCACAUCUUUCUUACUUUAAAUAUAAUGGAUUCCUGACAUGAUACUCCUUGAGGGAGACAGUGAGUGAUAUCUCAGACCACAAAAGUGCAAUUCAAAACUGCAACUUCUCAUCUGGAAUUGAACCUGGAAAAUCAGACGUGUUUGGAAAACAUCUGUCCAUGGGAUUGGUGCUGGGAAGAGGCUCAAGAAGACAGAUGUUUCUUGUUCCUUAUGAAAUUGAGUAAAAAAAAAAAAAUUGCACACAGGCAUAAGGUAAGGGGUGGAGUUCACUGUACCUAGGUGUGGUUGGAGUUGAAUCCAAGUAAUCAAAUGGUGA
rnacentral:lncRNA from 1 species